rnacentral:miRNA from 1 species
CUGGGAGAUAUGGGGACACAGAGACACUGGGAGACAUGGGGACACUGAGACACUAGGGACACUGGGAGACACUAGGGACACUGGGAGACAUGGGGACAAUGAGAGACUAGGGUACACUGUAUCCCUAGUGUUUCAGUGUCCCCAUGUCUCCCAGUGUCUCCCAGUGUCUCCAAGCAUCCCCAA